UGAAGGAACUUUAAACGGCCUAGGUAAAUGGGUUAACAGCAAAGGAAAUAUUACAAAAUAUAUUUCGCUGAAGGCAAACAGGAUCAUUAGAAAGGGCAAACAACCAGCCACCGAGAAAUGAAACUGUCAAAAAACCCAACAUACUCAAUCCAGAGGAGCCAACUUUCAGAUCAGUUUUCUGUUGACUUAAAGGUGCUACUGCAAAAACCUAGACCAGCACCCAAUACCCACUUUGCUGCCAGACUUUUGAAGUCUGGGAAUUGGCAGCUGAAGGAAACGUAAGCCUCUUCUCCUGGUUUAACACCAGAGGGAAAACAUGAGGGAGAUAAGGAGGCUGUCUAUUAAUUAACCAGCCCUGUUUUACCACGCUGAACUUUGGGUAGCAGCCAUUAAUCAGUCCUACAUAGCGCCGGGCAAGGAACUGCAAUCACCCUGGAAAAUACAUCUGAAACGAGAAGGAAAGAUAGAGAGGGCAAACCAGGGCUGUGCAGAGGGGAUUCUGGAAAGGAAACCAGAGCCCUUCUGCCCCACCCUAAACAAGAUGAAGGACGAGAAGGUAGGCGAUCCCCAGAGACCUCUGGCUACAACCGCUGUCAGCACAGCUGGUAUCUUCCAGGGGAACAGGUACAAGAAGGUGCGUGUCCACAACACGAAGUGACUUGUGCAGCUCUCAGCGGAGGACUGGCAUUAAUGCAUUGCUAGCAAAAGGUGGGGGAGAAAGGAAGCAUCUCCUGCGCUCCCAGGCAGGCUCUGAUUACCAUCAUGUUUUCUGAGCCCUUGGGGACUGGGUGGAACCGAAAGCUAUCCAAGUGGGAAUACGGUGACAAGGAACUCCACUCACUGGGCUGGAAGCCCCACUGGCUUCACGCCACACCCAACUACCACGCUCUGGGCAGCCUGUGCAUUUUUAAAACAUUUUAAGGCUUUUAGAGGUUGUUCUUGCUGACCAAAAGAAUUCCAUGACGUCUUUCAAGUUCAAAUCCAGUCCUUUGCAGGCUUUCUAAAAAAACUGUUUACUGCCAUCAAAUCACUUUGUGGUUAUUAAAGAAGGGGGCAAAUGGAGCACGUGACAUUGCCACCCUCCUAAGAUGUCUCACUAGGAAAAAUAUUUGGAUGAAGUGGUUGUAACAGAUGCCACCUAAGAGGUCGGAAAACAGUAGAAGGAAUGUGGAAGCUCUUGACUUUUAAUCUAAUCAGCAAGGGUUUGUUAUUUCUCACCAGAGUAUGGGAGGCACACACUAUCAGCUUCUGAUGAAUCUGGUAUACAUUAGGCAGGUUUUGUUUUGUGUCUUCAGUCAAGCACGUACUUUCCAGGAAGGGGGAUGGAGGAGUGGUCCCCCUUGUCUGAUUAGGCCACGAUGCCGCCCCUAUCACAUCCUCCAAAGACCCUGUCUUAUGGCGUGAGGUGUGCUAACAGACAUGGCUCUUAUAAUUCUUCUUUACCUGCUUAUUAUGGGCAGGGUUGCUUGUCCCAGUGACUGUAUGUGAAGGGUCUGGGGCCAGGCUGUCCCCCAGGAAACAAACAGUGAACUCUCUGUCUCUCUGCUGCUUGGCUAAGCAAGUCAUGCCAUGUUCGACAUGUUAUCCCAUAUCUGCUAUGGGCUAGGUGCUAUGUGGCUCACGCCUGUAAUCCUAGCACUUUGGGAUGUGGAAGCAGGAGGAUCCCCUGAGCCCAGGAGUUUGAGACCAGCUUGGGCAACAUAGGGAGGCCCAGCCUAUACAAAAAGUAAAAACUUAGCUGGGCAUGCUGGUGCAUGCCUGUGUUCCCAGCUACUUGGGAGGCUGAGGUGGGAGGAUCACUUGAGCCUGAGAGGUUGAGAGGCUACAGUGAGCCAAGAUCACACCAUUGCGCUCCAGCCUGGGUGACAGAGUGAGACCCUGGCUCCAAAAAAAAGCAACAAAGGGUAAAACCACAAGAAACCAUGUCCAUUACGCUAGAGAGAGGUGGCUUCUGUUGACCCUGUUACAAUGAGAGUCGGUCGGUUCAAUGCGAGAAGAAGUCUAGUUUACCUCUCCCUUCUCUUCCUUCCUGCCAGGUUCACAGCAAUUUCCUUUCACUUUCAAAAUGCUCCAGGGCACUGUCUGUAGCAUGCAUGCAUGGAUUCGUCAUUACAAGAGCAGUAAUUCACUGUCAGGAGUUUGAAAGCCAGCCCAAUCCUGCGGUGAAUCAGGAUGAGUUAAAUGCUCUUUAGCAAGCGCCAAGCUCACCCAAGAGAGGUGGAGUUCAAUCUCCAAAGGCCCCAGAGUACCUGCUAAUGAACCAGACAAGCCAAUUUCCUAAACAAUAUCCUGGUGCCAUCUAGGACCCAGUGGCUUUAUCUCAGUGGAAGGCACAUUCUCCAGAGAAGGGCUCUUUCAGGCUAACUCACCAUAAAGUUUGGUUCAGUAUGAGUGUGUGCAACCACUAACACCCCCACGCUUUGGUUUGAUUACAUCACCAGAUCCUUCUCUGCCUUCUCUACCUUGGGACAUUACAGCCAUUACUACGUUCCUCUUCCCAGCAGUGUAUAAAGUGUCCCACUCUUCAUUUUCCCUCUUCCUUUCAUUGACUAGGCCUAAAAGCAAAGUGGAAGCAAUGUAUUCUUUCUGAGUCAGUGUUAAGAAUGGACGUGCUAGGAAAUAUUCAGGAUUACCUCAACAGGAAGUAAUUUUUAUGCUCUGGCAAGGCCAAUAGUAUUGUGACACAUAUUCAUUCCUAUUUUCCCUUUCAUAUUCAUUUCUUCAUUGGCUUUAAAAAAAUUACAUUUGCUCAAAGAAAAUCUGAACUGUGCCUAUAGAUAUGAAGAUGAUAUUAGGAAGGGAAGGGAUUAUUACGUUGAAAAAAUUUCAAAUUCAUCUUGUUUGCAUUGGUAAAAUUGGGAAGAUUGCCAUUUGUAAGGUUUUAGUUAGCCUAUUGUUUCAUUUGAUUGUAAACGGAAUGUCUCCCAGACAUGAGACAGACAGACAGACAGACUGCUGCCAAAAUUAUUUAAUUCCCAGGAAAGAGAUGGUCCAGUCAGCGGUUAGCUUAUGGCUAUAUUUAAGAUGAGCGUUAUUUCUAUAAAUCUUUUGACAGAGGAACUCUACUGAGCCCUCCAGUGGCCAGACCUGGCUGACCAGUCCUGGGUCCAACAGUGAUUAAAGAUCUCAAUCUGGAGCAGAAUAGAGAAGUAAUGUUAAAUAAAUCAUUUCGCUUCCAAGCCACAAUCAAUAAUUGUGCAGUGCUGUAGGAUGGAUAAAAGAAAAAUGUCCUUCUCACUGACACUCAAUCUUCUGCUGGGCUACUCCCAUGUUCCCCAGGCCAAGGACAACCUCCUUUUGUACCAAAAAUAGUUACAGUUUGUAAAAUGAUAUCUUUUUUAUGCCACUUGCAACAGAUGGUACAAAUAAUUCCUUCUCUUAUCUCCAUCUCUGCACAUCCACCCAUUUCCUGGACGAACCUUGUUCUUUUAUGCACAGCUCCCUUUUAAUGUUUUCUAGAUUGGAUGCUAGUAAGUUAUCUGCGGCACCCAACUACAACUUUUUAGCGCCUUAGACUUUAUUUUUCUCUUUAUGACAGUUCUUGAAACUACUAUGUAACUUGUCAACCACAUGUUGCCAUAUAGGAUAUACUGCUUUAUUUGCUUGUGACACUUCAUAUUCUAACAAGAGAUUUUAAAUCCCCGUGCUCACCAUACCCCACCCACAAACACUCCAAUAAUCACAUAGCAGUUUGCAGUUUACAAAGGGCUCUCAAUUGUGACAUUUCAUGGGCUCCAGAACUCAGUGAAAGACAUAGAACAGGUGUCUUAUGUCUUUUUGAAUAGUUGGGAAACAGAAGUGCAGGGAGUUAAGAACCUCACCCAGCUUCCCAUAGCUGCUAAGCAGUGAGGCAGCAAGAACCCCAGCUUCCUCGGUUGUUUGCGUGUGACCUGCUGUGCACUUCAGGACACUGCAAGCUAUUCUGCAAAGAACGAUGUUCCUCAUGCCUGCCCACGCGUGAUCACUGAUGGAUUCCUUAUUCGAUUUCUGGCCAUGGUGUGAAACAUGAACAAGUCUGUUGAGAAGUACCUCACUCCAUUCACAGGUCCAGAUUUUCACAGCAAAGGAAAAGAAUCACUGGGGCAUCUCACUGGGCUUCGGCUCGAAUGAUUUAGAGCCUCUCUUGACUUACAAUUAGGUUUUAUCUACUUGCCUCAAAAUGAGCUCUGACACCGACAGAAGCCUCCUCUUCAGAGACACAAUCUGCUUCCCUGUGUCCCAACAACAAACUGCCAGAAAAGCAACGUUAGAGCAACACUUCUCCCAGAGAGGACAGAAGAUAAGUGACAAUAAAUAAAGGGGAUUUCUUAAAAUUAAGGCAGCAAGACACUGGUGCCAUUUCGAUGACGUUUCCUCCAACACACUGAAGUACACAAAUUAGUUUCCAAUUUUUUUUUUUAAUUAAAAAGGGUUUAAUUGGCCGGGCACAGUGGCUCACACCUGUAAUCCCAGCACUUCGGGAGGCCCAGGCAGGUGGAUCAUUUGAGGUUAGGAAUUCGAGAGCAGCCUGGCCAACGUGGUGAAACCUGACUCUACUAAAAACACAAAAAUUAGCCGGGUUUGGUGGCAGGUGCCUGUAAUCCCAGCUACUCGGGAGGCUGAGGCAGGAGAAUCACUUGAACCUGGGAGGCGGAGGUUGCAGUGAGCUGAGAUCACACCAUUGCACUCCAGCCUGGGGGACAGAGCGAGACUCUGUCUCAAAAAAAAAAAAAAAGGUUUAAUCCUCCUCAUCAAUCAGUACUCCUCCACACCAUCAUCUCAAGGAAGGCAGUGGGGUGUGGUGGAUCGAGCACUGGAUUAUGACUCAAAGGGCUUGGUUUUUCCCUGCUGGGAAUCUCUUCUUGGCUGUGGUCUCAUAACUGUGACUGUAGUCCUGACACUGAACUCUGAGCCCCUGAUUCAGCUGCUUACUUGCUUCAGUAAAACCUUCUUGCACUUUCUCUUCUGGUGCUGUGAAUACCUAAUGAGUUCCAUCAUUGUUGUGUCACUGAGCACGCAUGAUUAUUAAUAUCAUCAGCAAACAUUCACGGGCCCACUCAGUGAGCUGUGAGGCAGAAGAAAAUGAAUAAAACGGAAAAUACUCACUUGAAUGUAUUCACAGAAGGAUGAAACGAAUGACACAUUCGUUUUGGAGAUACAAGAACUGGCAAAAAAUGAGGACUCUGGAUGCAGCCAAUGUAAGAACAUCAUACUGUAUUAUAUUUCAAAGAUAUCAUAUUUGAGAAAAUGGUCCAGGCUGGACAUGGUGGCUCACGCCUGUAGUCCCAGCACUUUGGGAGGCCGAGGCUGGUGGAUCACUUGAGCUCGGGAGUUUGCAACAAGCCUGGGCAACAUGGUGAAACCCUACCUCUACAAAAAAUAGAAAAAUUAGCCUGGUGGGGUGGCAUACGCCUUUAGUCCCAGCAACUUGGGGGACUAAGGUGGGAGGAUCUCUUGAGCCCGGGAGGCGGAGGUUGCAGUGAACCACUGCACCACUGCACUCCAGCCUGGGCAACAGAGGGAGACUCGUGUCUCAGAAAAAAACAAAAAGUACUUUUCCUCAUUCCUAUUCCCAAAUUAAUUGAUCAUUCUGAACCCAGAUCAGGCUAUAUGUAAAAGACUCCCAAUUCAUUUCGUAGUGUUACAACAACAAAUAGACUCAAAUUGCAAUUAUCUAUAAUCACUGUGAGAUGGGUGAUUACCCACAUCUUGGCAUUGGAUCAUUCUCUUUUCCUUCCCAUCUUACCACCUGGGAGAACAUCUCUUUUGUGAAUGAAAAGAGCACCCGUGUCAUUACUUGUCUGUGGCCAGAAUGCAAGCUUUGGCUGCUGAAGAGGAAGCCGAACUAAUUAGCUCAAGAUAUGUGUUUAGAGGCUCUCAGAAUUUCAACUACAUUAUCCAUUCUAGUCCUGUCCUACAUUUAUAUCAAAAACAGGGAACUGGGUGCUUUAGCAUGGUUCUUGAUAGAAAAACAUUUAUCUUGUAAUAAUGCGCAAAAUUAAUUUUUGGCAGAGCAAAGAUUGGGAAUUUAAUGCAAAUGUAGAGAUGUUUUGUUAUUGCACAUAUCUGCCAAGACAGCUUUGCACAUAUACUCACUGUAUCUAUAUUUAAAAUAUAAAAUUAUAUUUGGGUAGUUUUUAUAUUAAGAUACUCUAUGUAUAUGAGUACAUAUCUGUCGAUAAAAAUUCUGUGCCAAAAUUAAAAAUAUCAAAAUUCCACAUCUGACUCAUUUUUUGUGCUCUAGUCUCAAAGUGAUACUGAAUAGAAACUUAUUAGCAUUUCAGUAAAUUUCUUCAGAUCAUUGUUACGAAUAAUAAAAAUACAGAAACAUUUUAAAACAACAUAUUUCAGUCUUAAAAUGGUCAGAUUAACAUAAUUAUAGCCCGAGGUUGCCAACAGUGCCACAUUUCUCAUUUUCAUGAAAAUGCAGAGGUUCUCUCAGAUUGCAAGCUAAUAGGCUCCUUGGUCUAAAUAUAUACAGUAAAAUCUGCAACAAAUUUCUGAAGCAUUAAGAUCUGAACCCUGCAGAUAUCUGGUGAGCGAGUUGUGUUGCAGUGGAGCAGAUUUUUUUUUUUUUCCUUGCAGUUACACAGCUGCUAGAAAACAUAUUUUUAGAUUUGCUUUUAAAGGCAAGCAAAAACGGUUUCCACUUUGUGGAUUUCCAUCCAUGAUGUAUCCGUCAUGAUCCCUCAGUCCCUACUGCAAGGGGUCAACCAUCUACAACAUGUUCUAUUCCGUGCCCUCCUUCCUUGUAAGUGACUGCAAGGACUGGCACUAGAUGCUCAUUCUAGACGAAGCUAUCAGACCCUGACCACCAGUCCUAUGCUUUAGAGGUGCUGCAUUUCAUGAAAAUCAUGCAUGGAAGUUUAAGCACCCUACAGAUCAGGCCCCUGCUAUUUCUGAAUUGCCCCAUCAUUGGCAUUGGUAUGAUUCCUUAUUGUUGUUUGUGUUUUUCUUUGGUAACUCUUCCUACUCUAUCAAGGGUGCGUGAAAAGGAACAGUUUCAAAGAGUGAAAUCAGAACAAGGCAAAGCACGACCUUUGAUGUCACAAGAAAAGAAGAAAAGGAAAGAAAUCAAAUACAUGUGUCGAUCAACUGAGUCAAACAUAUUUUCUGUUUCAGGAAUAUGGAGUGAGUUAGUGCUGCCUGCACAAUGGAAAGAGGUCCUCUAGCUUAAAUGAAAAGCUAGGUAGUCACACCUUUUAUCUGGAGAGACCUUAAAUAAAUAAAUCUGCUCAAAAAACUA